UGGUGUCUGAAAUUGAAUAUGCUGUG
rnacentral:piRNA from 1 species